rnacentral:miRNA from 1 species
CCGGCUGGGAGCCACGAUUUUA